UACAGAGGGGGCAAGCGUUAUUCGGAAUUAUUGGGCGUAAAGGGCGCGUAGGCGGCGAUUCAAGUGACGGGUGAAAUCCCUCGGCUUAACCGAGGAACUGCCUGUCAGACUGGGUUGCUUGAGACCGGGAGAGGCGAGUGGAAUUCCCAGUGUAGCGGUGAAAUGCGUAGAUAUUGGGAGGAACACCAGUGGCGAAGGCGGUUCUCUGGGCAUUACCUGACGCUGAGGAGCGAAAGUGUGGGGAGCGAACAGG
rnacentral:rRNA from 1 species